UACGGAGGGUGCAAGCGUUAUCCGGAUUCACUGGGUUUAAAGGGAGCGUAGGUGGGUUGGUAAGUCAGUGGUGAAAUCCCCGAGCUUAACUUGGGAACUGCCAUUGAUACUAUCAGUCUUGAAUACUGUGGAGGCUAGCGGAAUAUGUCAUGUAGCGGUGAAAUGCUUAGAUAUGACAUAGAACACCAAUUGCGAAGGCAGCUGGCUACACAAUUAUUGACACUGAGGCUCGAAAGCGUGGGGAUCAAACAGG
rnacentral:rRNA from 1 species